UCGUGUAGAAGCUGACUGUGUCUCCAAGGGCUAUGAUGUGUCUGAUUAAAGAGUCGCAGUUUUGUUAUUUUAUGUCAUGUCGUAUUGUACAUAUUUGUCAAAGGUGAUCUCGUGUAGAAGCUGACUGUUUCUCCAAAGACUAUGAUGUGUCUGAUUAAAGAGUUGGUUUUGUUAAUUUAUGUCAUGUCGUAUUGUACAUAUUUGUCAAAGGUGAUCUCGUGUAGAAGCUGACUGUUUCUCCAAAGGCUAUGAUGUGUCUGAUUAAAGAGUCGCAGUUUUGUUAAUUUAUGUCAUGUCGUAUUGUACAUAUUUGUCAAAGGUGAUCUUGUGUAGAAGUUGACUGUUUCUCCAAAGGCUAUGAUGUGUCUGAUUAAAGAGUCGCAGUUUUGUUAAUUUAUGUCAUGUCGUAUUGUACAUAUUUGUCAAAGGUGAUCUCGUGUAGAAGUUGACUGUUUCUCCAAAGGCUAUGAUGUGUCUGAUUAAAGAGUUGGUUUCGUUAAUUUAUGUCAUGUCGUAUUGUACAUAUUUGUCAAAGGUGAUGUCGUGUAGAAGCUGACUGUGUCUCCAAAGGCUCUGAUGUGUCUGAUUAAAGAGUCGCAGUUUUGUUAUUUUAUGUCAUGUCGUAUUGUACAUAUUUGUCAAAGGUGAUCUCGUGUAGAAGCUGACUGUUUCUCCGAAGACUAUGAUGUGUCUGAUUAAAGAGUUGGUUUCGUUAAUUUAUGUCAUGUCGUAUUGUACAUAUUUGUCAAAGGUGAUCUCGUGUAGAAGUUGACUGUUUCUCCAAAGGCUAUGAUGUGUCUGAUUAAAGAGUUGGUUUCGUUAAUUUAUGUCAUGUCGUAUUGUACAUAUUUGUCAAAGGUGAUCUUGUGUAGAAGUUGACUGUUUCUCCAAAGGCUAUGAUGUGUCUGAUUAAAGAGUCGCAGUUUUGUUAAUUUAUGUCAUGUCGUAUUGUACAUAUUUGUCAAAGGUGAUCUUGUGUAGAAGUUGACUGUUUCUACCCAAGCUGUGAUGUGUCUGAUUAAAGAGUCGCAGUUUUGUUAUUUUAUGUCAUGUCGUAUUGUACAUAUUUGUCAAAGGUGAUCUCGUGUAGAAGCUGACUGUUUCUACCCAAGCUGUGAUGUGCCUGAUCCAGCGUUGCCAGACAGUCGUGCUUAGCCUCUCAUGCUUGCUGAUUUCCAACCCCACAAUUGUCUCCUCACCCCAAUAACUGGUUUCAGAUAUAGUCACCGUUAAAAUGGUCAAUUAUUGGUGCUUCUUGGCAACAGUUAUGGGUCAGAAGCCGGUAAAUAGCCUGCUCGGAGCGUGAUCAUCUGCCGAGAAAGUGGUGUCCAGGUUCACUCAUCCUCUGUCAUAUUGUGGUGGAAGUCGCUGUUUAGUUAGUCAACAAUAAACCAUAAGGCUACCGUAGGAGUUUGGGGCAUAUCCAGGAGUAGUUUUAGCCGCCAAAGUUCACACAUUUGACAAGGCUAUCGUAGGAGCUUGAGGCAUAUCCAGGGGUAGUUUUAGCCGCCAAAGUUCACAUAUUUGACAAGGCUACCGUAGGAGCUUGGGGCAUAUCCAGGAGUAGUUUUAGCCGCCAAAGUUCACAUAUUUGACAAGGCUACCGUAGGAGUUUGGGGCAUAUCCAGGGGUAGUUUUAGCCGCCAAAGUUCGCAUAUUUGACAAGGCUAUCGUAGGAGUUUGGGGCAUAUCCAGGAGUAGUUUUAGCCCCCAAAGUUCACAUAUUUGACAAGGCUAUCAUAGGAGUUUGGGGCAUAUCCAGGAGUAGUUUUGGCCGCUAAAGUUCACAUAUUUGACAAGGCUACCGUAGGAGUUUGGGGCAUAUCCAGGAGUAGUUUUAGCCGCCAAAGUUCACAUAUUUGACAAGGUUACCGUAGGAGUUUGGGGCAUAUCCAGGAGUAGUUUUAGCCGCCAAAGUUCACAUAUUUGACAAGGCUACCAUAGGAGCUUGGGGCAUAUCCAGGAGUAGUUUUAGCCCCCCAAGUUCACAUAUUUGACAAGGCUACCGUAGGAGCUUGGGGCAUAUCCAGGAGUAGUUUUAGCCCCCCAAGUUCACAUAUUUGACAAGGCUACCGUAGGAGUUUGGGGCAUAUCCAGGAGUAGUUUUAGCCGCCAAAGUUCAUAUAUUUGACAAGGCUACCGUAGGAGUUUGGGGCAUAUCCAGGAGUAGUUUUAGCCGCCAAAGUUCAUAUAUUUGACAAGGCUACCACAGGAGUUUGGGGCAUAUCCAGUAGUUUUAGCCACCCAAAUACCCUGGAACCCACAUUGCUACCUUAGUCCCUUAUAGUUAGAGUCAAACAUUGCCCUCUG